AUGGAGGUGGUACAGGAGGACAGGGAGGGAGAACCUGUUGAGAGGCGACGACUACAGAGUUCAAACCAAACAGCAGCUGCUGGUCAGCCACAGGAAACAUCUUGGUCACGGACCCUGAGGACUCUGAGGACACCUCGACCCAGGCAAGGCUGGUACAGUUUAGCUGCGGUUGGUGUCGUGUGGUCGGUCUGCCAGGUGGAGGCGCCGCUGCACCCCUCUCUGUCACCGGUGGAUGUGUGCUGGAGGCUCCUGUGGGUGUGUGUGCUGUGGAUGGCUGUGGGAGUCUGCGUCCGUGCCCUGAAGUGCUGCCUGCGGCCAGGACAGAACCAGGGGGAGACUCCGCUGAGGACGCAGGAGGAAGUCAUAACUGAAAGCAGGAAUAACCUUCAUUCAUGGGCGCCUCCAUCGAGGGGCCCGGGUCACGUCUUCCCUCUGGCCCUCGUCCUGGCCGACAGCCUGCUGCUGUGUGUGCUCCAGGAGCCCCUGCUGGACCCCAGCGUGCCCCACAUAAAGACUCUCCUCUCCAGGCUGGAGUCAGUGUCUCGCUCACUCGAGAAGGCCGACGUCAGGUCAGAAGCGACACCAGAGGAGGCGGACCAGCACUCGAUACUGACGGACAAAGUGAAGCUCAUCUGCAACUACCUGCAGCAAAGGAUGAGGUCGCUGGGUAGACUCGUCCAGGUGCAGGGGGAUUUUGAAGCCAGCGUGAAGGACAUGCUGGAGGGCCUCGGUGGCCUCUGGGCUCAGCUGGAGGAGCUGCACACCAGAGUCACGCUCACCAAAGAGGGCAGCCGGGGCCUCAGGGACCUGGCCUCGGCCCAGGCAGAUGCAGAGGCUUUGCUCACAGUCUUGGGUGACUACAAGAACAGACUUCAGUGCUGCCAGGCUUAUCUGAAGGACAGCACACAACUUCUGCAGGAGUUAACCUGGAGUCACACUCACGUAAGCAACAGCGUGAGCAGCGGCGCUGAGUCAGUCUGGCCUGAGCUGUUGCUCCAGUCCAACAUUGAGCAGUUUGACAAGGUGCAGGAGAGUUUCCUCUCCGUGGAACAACAGACCACUACGUUCCAGGCCCACCUGCGGGGACUUGGAAAGGGGGAUCGGGAAGGACACGCGGGGCCCCUCGCUCAAGCCAACGGGGCCGAUUCACGCUCGGUCUCUCCACAGACUUCCCUACAGCUCGACAGCAGACGCACAAGCGAUGCGUCACUGGAGAUCUCGACCUCUGCGUCCGUCUCCGUCUCCUCAGCAGAUGCAGACGUGGAAGCCGAAACAGAGACGCCUCUCUCGCUCUGUGAGAGGUCGGCUCUAAGCUUCUCCUCCACCAUCGGACGUCUGCGAAAAUCUGGAAGGAGGAAGUGA
rnacentral:lncRNA from 1 species